AAUAUAUCCUUAUUUAUUUGUUUACUUUAAAUGUUAGGUAAAGUAAUUUGAAAUCACUUUAUAGAGUGCUAUUCACUGCGGUGACACAUAGUGCAGAUAAAGUCCUUGAACAUUUUACGUCUGUCAGUACACAUUGACUUCCUCGUAAACAAACACGUCUACCAACAUCAUGAAGUAUUUAUUACUUAUCGUCACGACUUUCAUCGUUUUCACAUCAGUUCCAGCAACACCUCAGCAUCAGCGUGAGGCGUGUUUCUGUCCAGACAUAUAUGCCCCCGUUUGUGCUGUUUCUGGCCAAACGUAUGCCAGUCGUUGCGAGUUAGAAUGUGCAAGUGAUACUCUCCUGCACGAGGGACGUUGUAACAUUUCUACAUAAAUAUAUUAUACAACAAUAAA